rnacentral:sRNA from 1 species
UUGAAGCAAAAAAUCCCCAUGCUUUGACUGCUGUAUUGUACAAAGGAAUAGCAUAUGAGAAUUUUGUUGAAGAAUGCUACAGGGCACCUUUAUGGGUGGAGCCUUAUGGAGAGGACGGAGGAUGGGUACAAAUCGAUGGAGCUUACUCGGCUUA